CUUUAAUAUAUAUCAUUAUAACUAAUUAAUGUACUUGAUAAUAAAGUACAAUGUCUAAGUUCAAUGUAAUGUGAAAUAGUAAUGAAAGUGUAAUGUGAAGAUAGACAAUGUUUUGUCUGUGAUUGUUCAGUCUUGAAAUUGUGAUGUCAUAGUGCGUACGCAUAAUGUACCUAUUUUUAUGAAACGAGGAGAAUCUUUACUAAUCUAGUUUAAAUGUACAGUAUUACAUACCUCAGAAAAAGGCCUUGGCUUUCGUUUGGUCGUAAAAUGUUAGUGACACAAUUCACAGAUGUCAGUCUUGGAUACACUCAGCCACUUUUCCAAACAGCUUACAUGAUACUUGGCUAUACUGCCAGUACAUUGACAUAACGUCUUGAGGUUCUCAGUUUUGUCUACGUCUUGACAGAUACGGCAGAUAACCAGAUUUGUCUUCACGCAAGGUACGCUUGGAAGACAUCACGUUUUCUUUUUCCUCAAAAUGAGACGAAAUGUACGAGUAGAUCUUCCACCUUGCAUGGGCAUCGAGUACAAAAUACCUCGUCCUGAAGUUCUACGAAGUCUGAUUCCAAAUGUUAAGCCUCCAGCCCUCCAUUGAUCUAAUAUCAUACCGUGUUGUUCUUCAUCUGGCGCAUCAUGAGCUGAAGAUUGUUUAAUCUCGCUGUGCUCUCUAAACAUUGAAAACAAUAAAACGUGUUAGAGAAGUACUAU